rnacentral:rRNA from 1 species
AACUGCUUUUCUAGGGGAAGAAACCUUCUGACUCGUGAGGAGCUGACAUUAGACUACGAAUAAACACCCGCUAACUCCGUGCCCGCCGCCGCGGUAAUUCCGAAGGGGCAAGCGUUAUCCGGAAUCACUGGGUUUAAAGGGUGGGUAGGGGGACUAGUAAGUCAAAAGUGAAAGACCUGCGCUUAACGGAUGGAUUGCCUUUGAUACUGGUAGUCUUGAAUAUAGAUGAGGUAUGGAGAAUGGGACGUGUAACGGUGAAAUGCCUAAAUUUCCCGUAAAAUACCCAUUGGCAAGGGAGCAUUGUGAACUCUAAUUGACGCUGAAGCCCGAAAGCGUGGGUAGCGAACAGGAUUAAAUACCCUGGUAGUCCACGCCCUAAACGAUGCUAACUGGAUGUUUGGCUCUUAAAAUCAAGGGACUGAGAGAAAUCAUUAAGUGAUCCACCUGGGGAGUACGUCCGCAACAAUGAAACUCAAAGGAAUUGACGGA